rnacentral:tRNA from 1 species
GGGAUCAUAGCUCAAUUGGCUAGAGCACUCGCCUGUCACGCGAGAGGUUGGCGGUUCGAGCCCGCUUGGUCCCG